rnacentral:rRNA from 1 species
ACUGCUCAGUAACACGUGGAUAACCUGCCCUUGGGACCGGUAUAACCCCGGGAAACUGGGGAUAAUUCCGGAUACCGCAUAUAUGCUGGAAUGCUUUAUGCGUCAAAUGGAUUCGUCCGCCCAAGGAUGGGUCUGCGGCCUAUCAGGUAGUAGUGGGUGUAAUGUACCUACUAGCCUACAACGGGUACGGGUUGUGAGAGCAAGAGCCCGGAGAUGGAUUCUGAGACAUGAAUCCAGGCCCUACGGGGCGCAGCAGGCGCGAAAACUUUACAAUGCGGGAAACCGUGAUAAGGGGACACCGAGUGCUAGCAUCAUAUGCUGGCUGUCCAGGUGUGUAAAAUACACCUGUUAGCAAGGGCCGGGCAAGACCGGUGCCAGCCGCCGCGGUAACACCGGCGGCCCGAGUGGUGAUCGUGAUUAUUGGGUCUAAAGGGUCCGUAGCCGGUUUGGUCAGUCCUCCGGGAAAUCUGAUAGCUCAACUAUUAGGCUUUCGGGGGAUACUGCCAGGCUUGGAACCGGGAGAGGUAAGAGGUACUACAGGGGUAGGAGUGAAAUCUUGUAAUCCCUGUGGGACCACCUGUGGCGAAGGCGUCUUACCUGAACGGGUUCGACGGUGAGGGACGAAAGCUGGGGGCACGAACCGGAUUAGAUACCCGGGUAGUCCCAGCCGUAAACGAUGCUCGCUAGGUGUCAGGCAUGGCGCGACCGUGUCUGGUGCCGCAGGGAAGCCGUGAAGCGAGCCACCUGGGAAGUACGGCCGCAAGGCUGAAACUUAAAGGAAUUGGCGGGGGA